AUUAGGGCUCACUGUAAUGACAUCGUCUUGACUUGCUUGGCUCUGAGGAGACCCUGACUGCAAAUAAGAUCCCAUUCUCCGGUGCUGGGCCAUAGGUGGGACCCCGGGGUGAAAACGAACGGAGGUGGACCUCAGUACUGUCCGCAUCUGUGAGGCUCCUGGCCAGUAUUGGUUGGCUUCUGUAUCUUUGACCUUGAACUCACUGCGUAGCCCAGGCUGCCUUCAACUCGAAGUGAUCCUCCUGCCUCAGCCUCCUGAGUGCUGGGGUUACAGGUGUGUACGGGCUCGGGGGUUCUAAAACUGGGCACAG
rnacentral:lncRNA from 1 species